GGCUUUUGGAAAAUUUCAAACAGAAAUUGAGAUCACCUUCUGUCUGAAGAUGUGGGAUACCUCCAGAGCAAUGUAAAUGCAGUAAAUAUAGCCUAAGAUUUUACCAUUUUCCGGCUGAAAUAAAAGAGUGUUGCAUUCUACGGUCACUCUUUGUGUCCAUUUUGAAGAGAGAAAAACAACACGUCCAUGCCUGCAAGCUGCA
rnacentral:misc_RNA from 1 species